AUGUACCAAUCAAUUCAGCGAGGGGGAUUAAAUACUGGUGAUAAAAAUGAUCAAGUGCCAGGAUAUAGAAAGCACAGCCCUCCCUGGUGCUAUUUCACCAGCCUCUGUGGCUUCAUCGCAACGACACUUCUCUCAUCACACAAGAGCCAGUCCAAGGCUGUUGCUGUUCAAGGGACAGAGAGGAUGGCACCCCUUCCUAUUCCAUAUGUCAAUGUCAACUGGACUUGGAGUGGAACCUUUCUUCAACAAUGGCAGAACAUCUUCCAUCAUACCUCAAAGGAUGCAAGCUCAUUUAGGUGGUGAAGGAUAAGCUUCAUGAUACAGAGCUCCCUCCGUGUAGCGCCAACUGUUUGAAGCAACUGUCCUACUUUAUCUAAUAUAGGACAAGCAGUUUAUGUAUGGAAGACAUGUAGGAACUUGAGUAAACCAUUAGACUGCAAAAUGUAUGCUGUGAGCUUAUGAAGUUUUCUUUUGGAUCUGAACUGUAUGGGAAGAUUUUGGAAGGAAGGAAGGUAGGCAGAAAAAUGUGGGGCUGGAAAGAGAGAAGGGAAGAUACAUUUGUUUUUGCUUUUGUAGUUUGCUUUUGCCACAGUCUGUGGGAAAGGAGUUAUUAAAUUAAAUCCCUAUUCUUUUCACAGCACAGAAUUGUUACAUGGAUUCCCUUCCACUUUUGUGUUCUCUUCUUGGGUUUCUUUUUGGGUUUCUUUUUUUUCUUUAAAUGAUUGCAUUAUACUCUCUAAUUUUUUACAGUUCACAUUUAUUAAAUUCCAAUUCAGGUGUUCUCUUGUUAUCAGAGGAGCACCACUUGAAGCCUAGAGCUAAUGUUCACUGUUCAGGAUCUAGCCAGAUCAUAUUUUUCUAGUUCAAAAUGUGCUUUUGAAGUUGGCAAGUAGAAAGCACCACAGAAAUCUCUCCAUGAAUCCUCUCCAUUCUGCAUUCUCAUGGAGGCAAUGCUGUUUCAUCACCCCCAAGCUUGUAUAUUAUCUGACACAACAGAGUGAAUACUCGCAUUGACCCAAAACAAACAACAGCUGUGCUUGCUUUUACUUUCUGAUCAGAGUCAUUUGUUUGGGGGGUUUGUCAGAGAAUUCCUUGAGAAAGUAAUGUUUGGGUUGCCCUCUACUGGUGAGGAGAUCUCAUUGGGAACUUGGCUGUCAGUGUGAAAGAAAGAAAAUGAAAAGGUGCGGUAAUUUGUCUGUCUAGAUAUCAUACUUAUUUGAAAAAAGGUGUCAGGCAUGUUUAUGUCUGUAUUCAUAUCCAUUAAUACAUGUUAGCUGCAUUCAUCAUGAAUGGAUAAUUUAGCUGUCUCCUGCCUUCAUUUUGUUAAAUGAUGCAUUCACUUUUGAAUUUGUGCAAGUUCUCAUUUUUAGAAAUCAAAUGAAAUUUUCAGCUACUACUCAGAUUCAGCAGGUCCAUCUGUUCCUAGGGCAGAAAGGAAUGUGCGGUAUGACUUUCUGUGGAACCGCUAAAGAUAAAGAGUGUAUCUACACUGUAGAUGGAAUGCAGUUUGUCACUACUUUAACUGGCAUGGCUCAGUGCUGUGGGAGUUGUAGUUUUACAAGGUCUUGAGCCUUCUCUGCCAAAGAGUGCUGGUGCCUCACCAAACUACAAAUCCCAUGAUUCCAUAGCAUUGAAUCAUGACAACUAAAAUGGUGACAAACUGCAUUCAUUCUACAGUGAAGAUGUGUACCAA
ensembl:lncRNA